UGGUGUACCAUGUUCCCUAUGCGCGUGGCUAUCAGAUCUGCCACCUCAAUUAAUGAGGGAGAUCUGAUGCCCCUUGUUUUUUAUUUUUCUUUUUAUUUUUUUAUUUUUCUUUUAAUCCUUUUAUUUUGUUUAAUUUAUAGUAAAUUCAUUUUUAGUCCAAAAAAUAUGGGACUUUCACCAAAAAAUCUUUAAAUAUUUCCAUCUUCCAUAUUUUGAAUUAAAAUCUUUUUUUUGGAUUAAUUUUGAUAUUUUACAUGAAUUAAAUGAUUUUUAACUUGUUUUUAAAUAUUUUAAAAUACUUAUGACUUUCCAAAAAUUGUGAAUUUUUUUGUCUAAG
rnacentral:lncRNA from 1 species